rnacentral:rRNA from 1 species
AGAGUUUGAUCAUGGCUCAGGACGAACGCUGGCGGCGUGCCUAAUACAUGCAAGUAGAACGCUGAAGAGAGGAGCUUGCUCUUCUUGGAUGAGUUGCGAACGGGUGAGUAACGCGUAGGUAACCUGCCUUGUAGCGGGGGAUAACUAUUGGAAACGAUAGCUAAUACCGCAUAACAAUGGAUGACACAUGUCAUUUAUUUGAAAGGGGCAAUUGUUCCACUACAAGAUGGACCUGCGUUGUAUUAGCUAGUAGGUGAGGUAAUGGCUCACCUAGGCGACGAUACAUAGCCGACCUGAGAGGGUGAUCGGCCACACUGGGACUGAGACACGGCCCAGACUCCUACGGGAGGCAGCAGUAGGGAAUCUUCGGCAAUGGGGGCAACCCUGACCGAGCAACGCCGCGUGAGUGAAGAAGGUUUUCGGAUCGUAAAGCUCUGUUGUAAGUCAAGAACGGGUGUGAGAGUGGAAAGUUCACACUGUGACGGUAGCUUACCAGAAAGGGACGGCUAACUACGUGCCAGCAGCCGCGGUAAUACGUAGGUCCCGAGCGUUGUCCGGAUUUAUUGGGCGUAAAGCGAGCGCAGGCGGUUUGAUAAGUCUGAAGUUAAAGGCUGUGGCUCAACCAUGGUUCGCUUUGGAAACUGUCAAACUUGAGUGCAGAAGGGGAGAGUGGAAUUCCAUGUGUAGCGGUGAAAUGCGUAGAUAUAUGGAGGAACACCGGUGGCGAAAGCGGCUCUCUGGUCUGUAACUGACGCUGAGGCUCGAAAGCGUGGGGAGCGAACAGGAUUAGAUACCCUGGUAGUCCACGCCGUAAACGAUGAGUGCUAGGUGUUGGAUCCUUUCCGGGAUUCAGUGCCGCAGCUAACGCAUUAAGCACUCCGCCUGGGGAGUACGACCGCAAGGUUGAAACUCAAAGGAAUUGACGGGGGCCCGCACAAGCGGUGGAGCAUGUGGUUUAAUUCGAAGCAACGCGAAGAACCUUACCAGGUCUUGACAUCCCGAUGCUAUUUCUAGAGAUAGAAAGUUACUUCGGUACAUCGGUGACAGGUGGUGCAUGGUUGUCGUCAGCUCGUGUCGUGAGAUGUUGGGUUAAGUCCCGCAACGAGCGCAACCCCUAUUGUUAGUUGCCAUCAUUCAGUUGGGCACUCUAGCGAGACUGCCGGUAAUAAACCGGAGGAAGGUGGGGAUGACGUCAAAUCAUCAUGCCCCUUAUGACCUGGGCUACACACGUGCUACAAUGGUUGGUACAACGAGUUGCGAGUCGGUGACGGCGAGCUAAUCUCUUAAAGCCAAUCUCAGUUCGGAUUGUAGGCUGCAACUCGCCUACAUGAAGUCGGAAUCGCUAGUAAUCGCGGAUCAGCACGCCGCGGUGAAUACGUUCCCGGGCCUUGUACACACCGCCCGUCACACCACGAGAGUUUGUAACACCCGAAGUCGGUGAGGUAACCUUUUGGAGCCAGCCGCCUAAGGUGGGACAGAUGAUUGGGGUGAAGUCGUAACAAGGUA